rnacentral:rRNA from 1 species
UACGGAGGGGACUAGCGUUGUUCGGAAUUACUGGGCGUAAAGCGCACGUAGGCGGAUUGUUUUAGUCAGGGGGUGAAAUCCCGAGGCUCAACCUCGGAACUGCCUUUGAUACUGGCAAUCUCGAGUCCGGAAGAGGUGAGUGGAAUUCCUAGUGUAGAGGUGAAAUUCGUAGAUAUUCGGAAGAACACCAGUGGCGAAGGCGGCUCACUGGACUGGUAUUGACGCUGAGGUGCGAAAGCGUGGGGAGCAAACAGG